CUCUUUUCAGGAAGAUGUGUGCCCUCUGCCCUCUCUCUUGGGGCUCUCCGCUCCUCCCAGGAGUGUGGGCCAGGCCAGGGGCUGGCUUCAGAGGCAGAGUCUGCUUCGCCAGAGGAACCUCCGGCCUCCCUGACGGGGAGGAAGCUGGGGAGGAAGCUGGGGAGGCCGUAAACGGCGCGGACAGGCCAAGUGCUCGCAGCGCCCCUUGCCUUGUGCGCGCCAUCGUAUUGGCGUCUUCAGUAACUCCAUGGCGCUUGCAGUGAGCGUUCUUCUUUCUCCAGGUACUUCUAGGAUUCUUGUCUUCCAUUUCCUGCAGCUCAGAAAGGGUAAAUAACUCACUCAAGGGCACACAUUUCAGAUUUGAGCCCAUGUCAUUCGACUCUGGAGACACGGCCUUAUCUGCCACACUAUACUACCACCCAAUAGUCCUGAAAAUGUGGCUUUCCUGGGUCCACUCAGUCCAGCUGAGAGCCACUCUAAGCAUUAGUUAAUUGCUUCUAGCUCCCUGCCCGCCACCUGUACCGCACCUUUCGGGCAGGGUGUGGGGUCCCGGGCCUUCCCUCCCUCUGGUAGAGUGAUGCUGGGUUUUCUCUGGGGGCCAGGCUGCCCCAUAAUCCUGUCACUCUUUGAUCAGGAGGCUGUGAGUCCUGCCCUGCAAGUGUGGAAGCUCUGCUUUAUAUUUUGAGUUUAGAACCUGCAGGAAGAGACGACUUCUGAAACCAGGUGCCCUGGGCCGAGUGACCCUGCCUCAGGAGAAGGAAGCCUGCUUCGGGGCUGGACAGAGCCGCGUUCACCUGCCCUGUCGAGAAGCUGGCUGGGAUGGUGCCAGAGCUCCGGUCACAGAAGACGGCGCCUCUUCUGGGUGGGAGAGAGGCCCAGACAGACGGUCGGGGGGUGGGAGCGAGAGACACUUCUGACCACACGGCCCCCGGAGCCCUCUAGGCCAGCCCAGGGCCUUGGUGUGCCCACUGGGGGCUGCCUGACUCCCCACAAGAUUAGUGUGUCUCCCUGGAGUUCUGGGCGGUUGCUUCCCCUCUCCUGUUUUAUUAAUACUUUCCCUUGUAGCACAUGUAGGUGUUUUUUACCUCAAUCGAUUUCACAUUUGAAAGAGAAUGACCGCGCUGUAAUUACUCUUGUGUCUCUGCAGGGCCUGGUCGGUGAGGGGCGGGGGAGGGAGCGAGAUCUAACCAUACCAGCCUUGAGUGAAUGCUGAGCGCCAGGUGGACGGUGAGUGUGCACACACGUACAUUCGUGCGAGCCCGUGUGGGUGGAGAGGAGGUGGGAUACGGAGACAGGACCCAGGCCCGGAGUUAGUGUGCACGAUCGUGACCCCUGCAGCUGGUGACUGCGUGCUCACUGCCCGUCAGCUGUAUUAACCCCGCGCCUUAUAUCUGAUGCCCACAGCCACCCUCCGAGGCUGGCGCAGUGCUGUCUUUAUUUGACAGAUGAUGGAGCUGGAUCUCAGAGGAGGAGGUGGCUGGCCAGAACCCGUGUGGGGACGGCAAGAUGGACGCGCAGUGGAAGCACCGGAGCAAAAGCUGCCAGGCCGUUGCAACAGGAUCCCUCCUAACGGCCGGAGCUGAAUUUCCCUGAAGACACACCGCACCGAGCCGUACUCUGGAUCUCUACGCACUGAGGGCCGGGGGCUCCUCCUGACACCCACACAGGAGAUGCCCCAGCAGAAGAAGGGCCAGACCGGCGAGGGAGGUUGGAGGCCUCCCCCUCAGAGCAUCUGGAGGCCGACGGCCCUUUCAAAAAUCCCUGACUCCCGCACGUCCCACUUUCUCCCCCAAACACUCCUGUUUUCUGUCUGGGAACACAGAGGGCUUCCUUUGUCCCUCUCUCUCGGGAAGUGUCUGGGCCAGCCUGGAGCCUCCGGUGCCAGGCCUGCACGCUCCUGGGCAGAGGAGA
ensembl:lncRNA